UGUCAACAUCCUACAAUUCUAUGAAUCGUUGAAGUUGCUUAUUGUAAGCGGUGUUUGUUUGACAGGUAAGUGGCUAGUUUCAGUAAAAUUAAAAAUUUUCUAUUACCUAGGUUUGGCAGUUUUGGUACAUUUCAAAUUCAUGUUGGCAUUAGCACCACAGAAGAAAAAAAUUUACUUGGAAGGAAAGGUGGUUACUUUCAAGGAGAAUCAUGAAACUAGAGCAUGAUUUACCAUGAACCAUUUGGGAACCAACUUGUUAGCUGCCUUAUAGCUAUCAUCCUUCUGAUGAAAUAACAGCAUUACAGCUGUUAGUUACGUCAAGACAUUAAUCUCAAGAUGCAAGUACUGAGCUUUAACGGAUUUCAAUUUACAGAAGCAAGACAUCCAAUUCUGUUGUUGAGGAGAAAACCAACUACACACCCAGCUAUGAAUGGACACAUAUGUGUAGCAAACCGAAAUCGGUACCAUCGCUGAGCAGUGCCCAAGAAAAUGUCCAGGAGCACGUAACACUAUUCCUUAUUAUUGAUUUCCAUGAUAUCAAUAUUGGAUAUGGAUCACGGGAUCUCAUGUUGAAGGCGAGGGGGG